GAUGGACGCUAGCUACAGGCUUAACACAUGCAAGUCGAGGGGAAACGACAUCGAAAGCUUGCUUUUGAUGGGCGUCGACCGGCGCACGGGUGAGUAACGCGUAUCCAACCUGCCCAUCACUUGGGGAUAACCUUGCGAAAGUAAGACUAAUACCCAAUGAUAUCUCUAGAAGACAUCUGAAAGAGAUUAAAGAUUUAUCGGUGAUGGAUGGGGAUGCGUCUGAUUAGCUUGUUGGCGGGGUAACGGCCCACCAAGGCAACGAUCAGUAGGGGUUCUGAGAGGAAGGUCCCCCACAGUGGAACUGAGACACGGUCCAAACUCCUACGGGAGGCAGCAGUGAGGAAUAUUGGUCAAUGGGCGAGAGCCUGAACCAGCCAAGUAGCGUGCAGGAAGACGGCCCUAUGGGUUGUAAACUGCUUUUAUAAGGGAAUAAAGUGAGAGUCGUGACUCUUUUUGUAUGUACCUUAUGAAUAAGGACCGGCUAAUUCCGUG
rnacentral:rRNA from 1 species